rnacentral:rRNA from 1 species
ACUCUUAGGCGGUGGAUCACUCGGCUCGUGCGUCGAUGAAGAACGCAGCUAGCUGCGAGAAUUAAGUGUGAAUUGCAGGACACAUUGAUCAUCGACACUCGCGGCUACGCCUGCCUGACGUCG